GUCAAUUUGGCACAGAAAGUGAAAUGAAUUGAUACUGUAAUAUCUACUCUCCUCUUUGUAGUUUUACAAAUGGGGACGGCUGUUUUCCUAACAAUAUUUGAUA